rnacentral:lncRNA from 12 species
UACUUGUUGACCAACCUUACAGAGGUACUCAUAAAAAAUAGCUUCCUUUCUUUAAAAUAGGGAGGAUGGUGUCCUGCCAUAGCGUUACCAAGUUCACUUGGGGUAGUCUCUGUGAAAGUUUGUCAGAUAGGGUGGGCGUUCGGUAACAAUCCAAAGAGGGCUAUGUGGGGGGCUUGGAGGGAAUAAGACAUGUCUGUUUUGUGUGGAUGCUCAGUCAGUGAUAACUCUUCAAGUUCCAUAAUCCUAUAUCUGCAAUUCCUAAACCCAAAAGGCUCUGAAAUGUAAAGUUUGGUGCCAAAUGAAUUUGGGGGCAAAAUCUGAUCUGAGCCAAUAGGAGGCUAUUUUUGAGUUUUAUACCAGUUAAAUUUGAUAAGAGAAUCCUGUGAAACACACACACACACAUACACACAGACACAUACACAUGCGUGCCAUAUCGUAUCUUGCUACUAAGGUUUGAAAAUAUCUGAAUUCUGAGACUCCUCUGGCCUCAAGCAUUGUGGAUAAAGGAUGGCAGACUGGGAUGACUGGCGCAGUCCCGCUUUAGGCCUCCCUUGCUGCAUGAUGAGUCUCUGUGCAGAACUGGCAGCCUGUCUCCUUUAGCUUGUUCUCUAGAACCCAUAGCAUAAAUGCCUGAGACAUGGUUGGUUAACUGUCCAAGUGGAUGAAAGAAUGUAGGGUUUUGAUGAUGAAGAAAUGAGAAAUGGAAUCCCAGAAAACAGGCAAGAGUAUACAUUGUUCUUUCCCCUUCUUUGCUUAGGUCUUCUAAAGGAUUCUGAACAUUUGAGGGGCCCGCAUCAUUCAUGGAUGGAGCUGGAGGAAGGGCUGGAAGCAGCCCCGGAAUCCUGAAAAGGCUGUUCAAGGAACGAUGCUGGCAGCAGUGCUGUGCUUCGUGAUUCCAUCAAGGAGCACAAUUGCCUUUUUUGGAGGGCUGGCUCAGCCACAGCUGGUGUUACAAGCUUUGCAACCAUAAUAUUGUGUGUGCAGCCUGGCCCAUUGCCCGUGGCAGUCUACCUGCCACGAUGGGAAAGACGGUCUAGAUGGAGAAGAAAAGGAAGCACUGUUGUACGGAGCGCUCCCCUGGGUGCGUGCUCUCAGAGAUGCUCCCAGAGAUUCGUGCCAGGUGGAGAACACCAAAUACUCCAGCAAAUUAGCAUGCAAGGCAUUUAAGGAACUUGGUUUUCAGGAGGAUGAUACGUUUUGGACAUGAAAUGAAGUACACUUUCCUCCCUGGCUAACACUGCCCUGUUUUGAACUUUUCUGCGCAGAGCUCGGCAUGAAGACAGCUACUGAGUGUGCGUCUGAUGCAAUGUUGGCUGACGCUCCCUCUUGCCGGCUCCCGCUAUUGAACCAGACCCAAGUGCAAUGUUUAAUCUUACUAUACCUCUUCCAGUCCCCUCUCAGUGGAUGGUACCCUUCACAUACCAUCACUGCUCCCUCUUUCUCACCUUCUGUGGUAAGAGCUUUAAGGAUGAUCCAGCCUGCUUCUACCCCACUGUGUUUUCCUCUUCAUCACCUUGGCUUUGCUUCUCCCAGAGUGAGAUGGAACUGUUUGGCACCAGGUAGACAUCUCCAGUGAACCUACUCAGCUUUUAACAACAGAUUGAGUCCAAGUCUCUUUGUACAGCUCUAGAACUGCAGAGAUGAUCAUAAAACCUUCCCUCAUUGAAUUCCCUCAGAGCCACCAAGUCUCUCCACUGCCCUAUCAAGAAAAACUUCAUCAGUACAUCCUGACAUGUCAUCUGUGGAUGACAAGAUUUCACUGUGAUGAUUUCCUUGAAACUUCAAAGAUAGAAUUCAACUGAAGCAAAUCAGUGAAUAUUUUUAAAAAUUAACUUGGCAUUAAUACUUGUUUAGCAUCGGUGAAAGGUAGAGAGAUUUUGAGCAUAAGGAAACUAAUUUUGAUGGAGAAAACCUCUUUGAUCCAGAAUUGUACUGAACAUAUUAGAUGCACUAUUGUUCUAAUCUUCAGCAUUCCAUGAGAAGAAUUUGAGGCUAAGAUGUUCAGAUGGCUUACCUGAUACCAAAACCAACAUCUCACCCCCAAAGUGGCAGGACCAGUGUUUGAUUCCCCCCAGUCUAAAUACCACUGUUUUUCAUUUAAAUCCAAUUGCCUCAUGGUAAAAUCCUUCUAUUUGAAAAGAGGGGUUUUGACAUCGAUCUAUAGGAUAGACAUCAUUCAACUGAUACUUCAUAAUUACCCAUAGGAGUAGAUUAUCAUAGUGACAAGUGAAGGGGAAAGGGGCUAUUUGAAAAAUAACGUGGAGAUUGCUUUGGCUCUCUUUGAUGGACUCAAAGACAUGGAAAAUGGAAACCAGAAACAGAGAAAAAAAUAAAUCCUUUGUGGGCAGGAGCUCUUAAGCCCUG